GGGUGAGAGUCUACAACUCCCCCUGGAUAGGAUAACGGUCCAUCACAGGUCACUUUCCCAGCUAAGGCUAGCAUCCAUUUACAGCUGGGUGGACGGAGACAAUGCAGAUAAAGCGUCUUAUCCAAGGACAUUCACAG